GAUGAACGCUGGCGGCGUGCCUAAUACAUGCCAGUCGAGCGAACAGACGAGGAGCUUGCUCCUCUGACGUUAGCGGCGGACGGGUGAGUAACACGUGGAUAACCUACCUAUAAGACUGGGAUAACUUCGGGAAACCGGAGCUAAUACCGGAUAAUAUAUUGAACCGCAUGGUUCAAUAGUGAAAGACGGUUUUGCUGUCACUUAUAGAUGGAUCCGCGCCGCAUUAGCUAGUUGGUAAGGUAACGGCUUACCAAGGCGACGAUGCGUAGCCGACCUGAGAGGGUGAUCGGCCACACUGGAACUGAGACACGGUCCAGACUCCUACGGGAGGCAGCAGUAGGGAAUCUUCCGCAAUGGGCGAAAGCUUGAUGGAGCAACGCCGCGUGAGUGAUGAAGGUCUUCGGAUCGUAAAACUCUGUUAUUAGGGAAGAACAAAUGUGUAAGUAACUAUGCACGUCUUGACGGUACCUAAUCAGAAAGCCACGGCUAACUACGUG
rnacentral:rRNA from 1 species